rnacentral:rRNA from 1 species
GAUGAACGCUGGCGGCGUGCCUAAUACAUGCAAGUCGAGCGAACAGACGAGGAGCUUGCUCCUCUGACGUUGGCGGCUGACGGGUGGGUAACACGUGGAUAACCUACCUAUAUUACUGGGAUAACUUCGGGAAACCGGAGCUAAUACCGGAUAAUAUAUUGAACCGCAUGGAUCAAUAGUGAAAGACGGUUUUGGUGUCACUUUUAGAUGGUUUCGUGCCGGAUUAGCUAGUUGGUAAGGUAACGGCCUACCAAGGCGACGAUCCGUAGCCGACCUGAGAGGGUGAUCGGCCACACGGGAACUGAGACACGGUCCAGACUCCUACGGGAGGCAGCAGUAGGGAAUCUUCCACAAUGGGCGAAAGCCUGACGGAGCAACGCCGCGUGAGUGAUGAAGGUCUUCGGAUCGUAAAACUCUGUUAUUAGGGAAGAAAAAAUGUGUAAGUAACUAUGCACGUCUUGACGGUACCUAAUCAGAAAGCCCCGGCUAACUACGUG